rnacentral:rRNA from 1 species
GACGAACGCUGGCGGCGUGCUUAACACAUGCAAGUCGAACGGAAAGGCCCUGCUUUUGUGGGGUGCUCGAGUGGCGAACGGGUGAGUAACACGUGAGUAACCUGCCCUUGACUUUGGGAUAACUUCAGGAAACUGGGGCUAAUACCGGAUAGGAGCUCCUGCUGCAUGGUGGGGGUUGGAAAGUUUCGGCGGUUGGGGAUGGACUCGCGGCUUAUCAGCUUGUUGGUGGGGUAGUGGCUUACCAAGGCUUUGACGGGUAGCCGGCCUGAGAGGGUGACCGGCCACAUUGGGACUGAGAUACGGCCCAGACUCCUACGGGAGGCAGCAGUGGGGAAUAUUGCACAAUGGGCGGGAGCCUGAUGCAGCAACGCCGCGUGCGGGAUGACGGCCUUCGGGUUGUAAACCGCUUUCGCCUGUGACGAAGCGUGAGUGACGGUAAGGGGUAAAGAAGCACCGGCUAACUACGUGC